rnacentral:lncRNA from 1 species
UUUCCAGUAAAUUAAUGAACGCCAUAGCUAGCUAGAUAGCACACUCUAGCUAUAUCUAUAUCAAUCGAAAUCGAGCUUCAUGGAAAUUAAUGAUAUAACAUCAUGAGCAGUCACUCUGCUAAAAUCAAAAGGCUGAUUGCUCAUGAUGCUAUACAAUAGUAAUUUAAAUCUCUGUAUGUACGUAUACAUACGUACGUACGUAUGUAUCCCACGUAUGCAUGCAUGUGUGCUUCUAUUUGGGAUUAGGAAGUCCUUAAAC